UGGGGAAUAUUGGACAAUGGGGGAAACCCUGAUCCAGCGACGCCGCGUGAGUGAAGAAGUAUUUCGGUAUGUAAAGCUCUAUCAGCAGGGAAGAAAAUGACGGUACCUGACUAAGAAGCCCCGGCUAACUAUGUGCCAGCAGCCGCGGUAAUACGUAGGGGGCAAGCGUUAUCCGGAUUUACUGGGUGUAAAGGGAGCGCAGACGGCAAUGCAAGUCUGAAGUGAAAGGCGUGGGCUCAACCCAUGAACUGCUUUGGAAACUGUAUAGCUUGAGUGUCGGAGGGGUAAGCGGAAUUCCUAGUGUAGCGGUGAAAUGCGUAGAUAUUAGGAGGAACACCGGAGGCGAAGGCGGCUUACUGGACGACAACUGACGUUGAGGCUCGAAGGCGUGGGGAGCAAGCAGGAUUAGAUACCCUGGUAGUCCACGCAGUAAACGAUGAAUACUUGGUGUCGGGGAGGUAAACUCUUCGGUGCCGCAAGCUAACGCAUUAAGUAUUCCACCUGGGGAGUACGUUCGCAAGAAUG
rnacentral:rRNA from 1 species